GAUGAACGCUGGCGGCGUGCUUAACACAUGCAAGUCGAGCGAAGCGCUUUGGGAAGAUUCUUCGGAUGAUUUCCUUUGUGACUGAGCGGCGGACGGGUGAGUAACGCGUGGGUAACCUGCCUCAUACAGGGGGAUAACAGUUAGAAAUGACUGCUAAUACCGCAUAAGACCACGGUACCGCAUGGUACAGUGGUAAAAACUCCGGUGGUAUGAGAUGGACCCGCGUCUGAUUAGGUAGUUGGUGGGGUAACGGCCUACCAAGCCGACGAUCAGUAGCCGACCUGAGAGGGUGACCGGCCACAUUGGGACUGAGACACGGCCCAGACUCCUACGGGAGGCAGCAGUGGGGAAUAUUGCACAAUGGAGGAAACUCUGAUGCAGCGACGCCGCGUGAAGGAUGAAGUAUUUCGGUAUGUAAACUUCUAUCAGCAGGGAAGAAAAUGACGGU
rnacentral:rRNA from 1 species